rnacentral:rRNA from 1 species
AGAGCUCAAAUUUGAAAGCUGGUACCUUCGGUAUCCGCGUUGUAACCUCGAGACACGUUUUCCGUGCGGCGCUAUGGACAAGUUCCUUGGAACAGGACAUCGUAGAGGGUGAAAAUCCCGUACUUGCCAUGGAUGUACCGUGCUUUGCGAUACGUGCUCUAAGAGUCGAGUUGUUUGGGAUUGCAGCUCAAAAUGGGUGGUAGACUCCAUCUAAAGCUAAAUAUCGGGGAGAGACCGAUAGCGAACAAGUACCGUGAGGGAAAGAUGAAAAGCACUUUGGAAAGAGAGUUAAAAGUACGUGAAAUUGUCGAAAGGGAAGCGCUUGAAGUCAGCCAUGCCGCUCAGGACUCAGCCUGGCUUUUGCUUGGUGUAUUUCCUGGGUAGCAAGUCAGCAUUGGUUUGGAUCGUCGGAGAAGCAUAGUUGGAAUGUGGCGCCCUCGGGCGUGUUAUAGCCUUCUAUUGGAUACGACGAUCUGGACCAAGGAACGCAGCGCGCCUUAUGGCGGGUCUUCGGACACCUUCGCGCUUAGGAUGCUGGCGUAAUGGCUUUAAGUGGCCC